AACAGGAUUAGAUACCCUGGUAGUCCACGUUGUAAACGAUGUCGACUUGGAGGUUGUGCCCUUGAGGCGUGGCUUCCGGAGCUAACGCGUUAAGUCGACCGCCUGGGGAGUACGGCCGCAAGGUUAAAACCCAAAUGAAUUGACGGGGGCCCGCACAAGCGGUGGAGCAUGUGGUUUAAUUCGAUGCAACGCGAAGAACCUUACCUACUCUUGACAUCCAGAGAAUUUGCUAGAGAUAGCUUAGUGCCUUCGGGAACUCUGAGACAGGUGCUGCAUGGCUGUCGUCAGCUCGUGUUGUGAAAUGUUGGGUUAAGUCCCGCAACGAGCGCAACCCUUAUCCUUUGUUGCCAGCACGUAAUGGUGGGAACUCAAAGGAGACUGCCGGUGAUAAACCGGAGGAAGGUGGGGAUGACGUCAAGUCAUCAUGGCCCUUACGAGUAGGGCUACACACGUGCUACAAUGGCAUAUACAAAGAGAAGCGAACUCGCGAGAGCAAGCGGACCUCAUAAAGUAUGUCGUAGUCCGGAUUGGAGUCUGCAACUCGACUCCAUGAAGUCGGAAUCGCUAGUAAUCGUAGAUCAGAAUGCUACGGUGAAUACGUUCCCGGGCCUUGUACACACCGCCCGUCACACCAUGGGAGUGGGUUGCAAAAGAAGUAGGUAGCUUAACCUUCGGGAGGGCGCUUACCACUUUGUGAUUCAUGACUGGGGUGAAGUCGUAACAAGGUAACC
rnacentral:rRNA from 1 species